rnacentral:rRNA from 1 species
AGAGUUUGAUCAUGGCUCAGAUUGAACGCUGGCGGCAGGCCUAACACAUGCAAGUCGAGCGGUAGCACAGAGAGCUUGCUCUCGGGUGACGAGCGGCGGACGGGUGAGUAAUGUCUGGGAAACUGCCUGAUGGAGGGGGAUAACUACUGGAAACGGUAGCUAAUACCGCAUAAUGUCGCAAGACCAAAGUGGGGGACCUUCGGGCCUCAUGCCAUCAGAUGUGCCCAGAUGGGAUUAGCUAGUAGGUGGGGUAACGGCUCACCUAGGCGACGAUCCCUAGCUGGUCUGAGAGGAUGACCAGCCACACUGGAACUGAGACACGGUCCAGACUCCUACGGGAGGCAGCAGUGGGGAAUAUUGCACAAUGGGCGCAAGCCUGAUGCAGCCAUGCCGCGUGUGUGAAGAAGGCCUUCGGGUUGUAAAGCACUUUCAGCGGGGAGGAAGGCGNUCGAUUGACGUUACCCGCAGAAGAAGCACCGGCUAACUCCGUGCCAGCAGCCGCGGUAAUACGGAGGGUGCAAGCGUUAAUCGGAAUUACUGGGCGUAAAGCGCACGCAGGCGGUCUGUCAAGUCGGAUGUGAAAUCCCCGGGCUCAACCUGGGAACUGCAUUCGAAACUGGCAGGCUAGAGUCUUGUAGAGGGGGGUAGAAUUCCAGGUGUAGCGGUGAAAUGCGUAGAGAUCUGGAGGAAUACCGGUGGCGAAGGCGGCCCCCUGGACAAAGACUGACGCUCAGGUGCGAAAGCGUGGGGAGCAAACAGGAUUAGAUACCCUGGUAGUCCACGCCGUAAACGAUGUCGAUUUGGAGGUUGUGCCCUUGAGGCGUGGCUUCCGGAGCUAACGCGUUAAAUCGACCGCCUGGGGAGUACGGCCGCAAGGUUAAAACUCAAAUGAAUUGACGGGGGCCCGCACAAGCGGUGGAGCAUGUGGUUUAAUUCGAUGCAACGCGAAGAACCUUACCUGGUCUUGACAUCCACAGAACUUNUUGGUGCCUUCGGGAACUGUGAGACAGGUGCUGCAUGGCUGUCGUCAGCUCGUGUUGUGAAAUGUUGGGUUAAGUCCCGCAACGAGCGCAACCCUUAUCCUUUGUUGCCAGCGGUCCGGCCGGGAACUCAAAGGAGACUGCCAGUGAUAAACUGGAGGAAGGUGGGGAUGACGUCAAGUCAUCAUGGCCCUUACGACCAGGGCUACACACGUGCUACAAUGGCAUAUACAAAGAGAAGCGACCUCGCGAGAGCAAGCGGACCUCAUAAAGUAUGUCGUAGUCCGGAUUGGAGUCUGCAACUCGACUCCAUGAAGUCGGAAUCGCUAGUAAUCGUAGAUCAGAAUGCUACGGUGAAUACGUUCCCGGGCCUUGUACACACCGCCCGUCACACCAUGGGAGUGGGUUGCAAAAGAAGUAGGUAGCUUAACCUUCGGGAGGGCGCUUACCACUUUGUGAUUCAUGACUGGGGUGAAGUCGUAACAAGGUAACCGUAGGGGAACCUGCGGUUGGAUCACCU